rnacentral:lncRNA from 12 species
GGGGGGGGGGGGGGGGGGGGGGGGGGGGGGGGGGGGGGGGGGGGGGGGGGGGGGGGGGGGGGGGGGCCCUUUAAUUCAGUAGUAAGAAUUUGGGUGAAGGUCCCAGAGGGAAAGCCACACGAGUCGCUCGGUUUGUUCAGCCUGGAGCAGACUGAGGUCAGAGCUCACAGCAGCUUCCUCACGAGGGGAGGAGGAGGGGCAGCUCUGGUCCCUGCUCUGUGUGACAGGGACGGGACCCAGGGAGCGGCUGGAGCUGGGUCACGGAGGGUUAGGAUGGAUUUUGGGAAAAGUGGUUUCCCCAGAGUGUGGCUGGGCGCUGAACAGGCUCCCCAGGGAAUGGUCACAGCACCCAGCCCCACAGAGCUCCAGGAGUGUUUGGACAACGCUCUCGGGCACAGGGUGGGAUUGCUGCGGUGUCCUGUGCAGGGCCAGGAGUUGGACUGGAUGAUCCUUGUGGGUCCCUUCCAGUUCAGUUGUGUCAUUCUGUAGUAACUGUGACCCUCUCAGAUUUGGACACAGCGCUUGUUUGCUUUGGCUCUGGAGUGCACCUGACCCACCAGCCCAGGUGUCUGGACCAGCUUAAGAAUUAGAGGUGCUUCUUGUUUUUUAAGCUCUCUUCGUUAUCCGAGUCUCUUGUUUUCCUACUCGUUUACUUCACAUGUGUGAGCCCUUUGUGUUUCCUCCCAGCAGGCAGCUGGGUUCAAGGGAAGGUGUUGGGUUGUCCUAGGCUUUAUAAGAUUAUAAAGGACCCCAGGCAGGAUUGCAUCCAAGAUUGUCAAAUAAAUGUAAAUUAAUGAAACAUCUGAAUUCUGAAGAAAUUGACUAGGAUGUGGGUAGAAAAACUCUGUAGGCUGCGUUAGAAAGCUGAAUCCACAGCUACAAUUCCUGGUAUUCCAUCUCUUGUAGGUACACAGGUGCUUAAAGGGAUACAGGAUUUAUGUGUGGUGCCCUUUGCCAUGGUAUAUUAUAUAGAUCUUUGCUCAGCAAAAUUGCAAAGUGUGCAAAGAAUUAUCUUGGGUGUAUAUCCUCCAGGAUGUGCUCUGAAGAUUUCAGCAAAAGGGAAAGAAGGAGCUUGGCUCAACCACCAGAGAAACCCUGCAGCCCACACCCAGGCAAUCCUGAGUCCUCCCUUCCCUGUGAGACCUGUGUGGAGUCUCCCAGGCAGGAAAACUCCCCUCAGAAGUGGUGCACUGAGAGCUCUCCCCAGACAGCAACAGAAUCAUCCUCGUGCCUGCUUCUGCCUUCUGAUUCAAUUACUCCUUUCAUUCGUUUGUGUGGGUGCCUUUUUUCAGCAGAGUGGAUCAGCUCCUGCAGCUGAGAUUCCCAUUCCACAUCACUGCAUUUACAGUCAGCAGCGAGGAAAGGGAUGCUUCAAAUUCCCGGAAGCCGACUCUGGAUCAUGUCUCUCUUAG